CUACGGGUGGCUGCAGUGAGGAAUAUUGCACAAUGGGGGGAACCCUGAUGCAGCAACGCCGCGUGGAGGAUGACGCAUUUCGGUGUGUAAACUCCUUUUAUAUGUCAAGAAAAUGACGGUAGCAUAUGAAUAAGCACCGGCUAACUCCGUGCCAGCAGCCGCGGUAAUACGGAGGGUGCAAGCGUUACUCGGAAUCACUGGGCGUAAAGGACGCGUAGGCGGGUUGGAAAGUCAGGUGUGAAAUCCUACAGCUUAACUGGAGAACUGCACUUGAAACUGCUAAGCUAGAGUAUGGGAGGGGGAGAUGGAAUUAGUGGUGUAGGGGUAAAAUCCGUAGAUAUCACUAGGAAUACCUAAAGCGAAGGCGAUCUCCUGGAACAUUACUGACGCUAAGGCGUGAAAGCGUGGGGAGCAAACAGGAUUAGAUACCCUAGUAGUC
rnacentral:rRNA from 1 species